GUCCAGACUCCUACGGGAGGCAGCAGUGGGGAAUAUUGCACAAUGGGGGGAACCCUGAUGCAGCGACGCCGCGUGAGGGAAGAAGGUUUUCGGAUUGUAAACCUCUGUCCUCUGUGACGAUAAUGACGGUAGCAGAGGAGGAAGUCACGGCUAACUACGUGCCAGCAGCCGCGGUAAUACGUAGGUGGCGAGCGUUAUCCGGAAUGAUUGGGCGUAAAGGGUGCGUAGGCGGUCGAUUAAGUCUGGAGUGAAAGGUACCGGCUCAACCGGUAUAGGCUCCGGAAACUGAUGGACUGGAGUACAGGAGAGGGUGGCGGAACUCCAUGUGUAGCGGUAAAAUGCGUAGAUAUAUGGAAGAACACCGGUGGCGAAGGCGGCCGCCCGGACUGUAACUGACGCUGAGGCACGAAAGCGUGGGGAGCAAAUAGGAUUAGAUACCCUAGUA
rnacentral:rRNA from 1 species